AUUGAACGCUGGCGGCAUGCCUUACACAUGCAAGUCGAAUGGUAACAGGUCUUCGGAUGCUGACGAGUGGCGAACGGGUGAGUAAUACAUCGGAACGUGCCCGAUCGUGGGGGAUAACGGAGCGAAAGCUUUGCUAAUACCGCAUACGAUCUACGGAUGAAAGCAGGGGACCGCAAGGCCUUGCGCGGACGGAGCGGCCGAUGGCAGAUUAGGUAGUUGGUGGGAUAAAAGCUUACCAAGCCGACGAUCUGUAGCUGGUCUGAGAGGACGACCAGCCACACUGGGACUGAGACACGGCCCAGACUCCUACGGGAGGCAGCAGUGGGGAAUUUUGGACAAUGGGCGAAAGCCUGAUCCAGCCAUGCCGCGUGCAGGAUGAAGGCCUUCGGGUUGUAAACUGCUUUUGUACGGAACGAAAAGCCUCUUUCUAAUAAAGAGAGGUCAUGACGGUACCGUAAGAAUAAGCACCGGCUAACUACGUGCCAGCCGCCGCGGUAAGAC
rnacentral:rRNA from 1 species